rnacentral:rRNA from 1 species
UUAAAUUGAAGAGUUUGAUCAUGGCUCAGAUUGAACGCUGGCGGCAGGCCUAACACAUGCAAGUCGAACGGUAACAGAAAGCAGCUUGCUGCUUUGCUGACGAGUGGCGGACGGGUGAGUAAUGUCUGGGAAACUGCCUGAUGGAGGGGGAUAACUACUGGAAACGGUAGCUAAUACCGCAUAACGUCGCAAGACCAAAGAGGGGGACCUUCGGGCCUCUUGCCAUCGGAUGUGCCCAGAUGGGAUUAGCUUGUUGGUGGGGUAACGGCUCACCAAGGCGACGAUCCCUAGCUGGUCUGAGAGGAUGACCAGCCACACUGGAACUGAGACACGGUCCAGACUCCUACGGGAGGCAGCAGUGGGGAAUAUUGCACAAUGGGCGCAAGCCUGAUGCAGCCAUGCCGCGUGUAUGAAGAAGGCCUUCGGGUUGUAAAGUACUUUCAGCGGGGAGGAAGGGAGUAAAGUUAAUACCUUUGCUCAUUGACGUUACCCGCAGAAGAAGCACCGGCUAACUCCGUGCCAGCAGCCGCGGUAAUACGGAGGGUGCAAGCGUUAAUCGGAAUUACUGGGCGUAAAGCGCACGCAGGCGGUUUGUUAAGUCAGAUGUGAAAUCCCCGGGCUCAACCUGGGAACUGCAUCUGAUACUGGCAAGCUUGAGUCUCGUAGAGGGGGGUAGAAUUCCAGGUGUAGCGGUGAAAUGCGUAGAGAUCUGGAGGAAUACCGGUGGCGAAGGCGGCCCCCUGGACGAAGACUGACGCUCAGGUGCGAAAGCGUGGGGAGCAAACAGGAUUAGAUACCCUGGUAGUCCACGCCGUAAACGAUGUCGACUUGGAGGUUGUGCCCUUGAGGCGUGGCUUCCGGAGCUAACGCGUUAAGUCGACCGCCUGGGGAGUACGGCCGCAAGGUUAAAACUCAAAUGAAUUGACGGGGGCCCGCACAAGCGGUGGAGCAUGUGGUUUAAUUCGAUGCAACGCGAAGAACCUUACCUGGUCUUGACAUCCACGGAAGUUUUCAGAGAUGAGAAUGUGCCUUCGGGAACCGUGAGACAGGUGCUGCAUGGCUGUCGUCAGCUCGUGUUGUGAAAUGUUGGGUUAAGUCCCGCAACGAGCGCAACCCUUAUCCUUUGUUGCCAGCGGUCCGGCCGGGAACUCAAAGGAGACUGCCAGUGAUAAACUGGAGGAAGGUGGGGAUGACGUCAAGUCAUCAUGGCCCUUACGACCAGGGCUACACACGUGCUACAAUGGCGCAUACAAAGAGAAGCGACCUCGCGAGAGCAAGCGGACCUCAUAAAGUGCGUCGUAGUCCGGAUUGGAGUCUGCAACUCGACUCCAUGAAGUCGGAAUCGCUAGUAAUCGUGGAUCAGAAUGCCACGGUGAAUACGUUCCCGGGCCUUGUACACACCGCCCGUCACACCAUGGGAGUGGGUUGCAAAAGAAGUAGGUAGCUUAACCUUCGGGAGGGCGCUUACCACUUUGUGAUUCAUGACUGGGGUGAAGUCGUAACAAGGUAACCGUAGGGGAACCUGCGGUUGGAUCACCUCCUUACCUUAAAGACGC